GACGAACGCUGGCGGCGUGCUUAACACAUGCAAGUCGAACGGAAAGGCCCUGCUUUUGUGGGGUGCUCGAGUGGCGAACGGGUGAGUAACACGUGAGUAACCUGCCCUUGACUUUGGGAUAACUUCAGGAAACUGGGGCUAAUACCGGAUAGGAGCUCCUGCUGCAUGGGGGGGGUUGGAAAGUUUCGGCGGUUGGGGAUGGACUCGCGGCUUAUCAGCUUGUUGGUGGGGUAGUGGCUUACCAGGGCUUUGACGGGUAGCCGGCCUGAGAGGGUGACCGGCCACAUUGGGACUGCGAUACGGCCCAGACUCCUACGGGAGGCAGCAGUGGGGAAUAUUGCACAAUGGGCGGGCGCCUGAUGCAGCGACGCCGCGUGCGGGAUGACGGCCUUCGGGUUGUAAACCGCUUUCGCCUGUGACGAAGCGUGAGUGACGGUAAUGGGUAAAGAAGCACCGGCUAACUACGUG
rnacentral:rRNA from 1 species